rnacentral:lncRNA from 1 species
AGGUGCCGUACGCGCGCCGCAGCUCCCGGCGCACGAAGUCCGGUAGCUGCAGAGGGGGGCCCCGCGCGCGCUCCACGCGGCCCCAGCGCAGCUCGGUUUGCAGGCUCCCGCCCUCCGGCCACGGCGCCCAGCUCUCGGCCACCGCCGCGGGCGCCUGCAGCGACAGUCCCGAGAUGCCGGCGGCGGCGCAGGGCCGGCGCAGGGUCGUGGCGUAGGCCGGAGGGCAGGCCCACCAGGGCGGCGCGGCCUCGGGUGGCGCGGCGGGGCCGUAGAAGCGGUGGUAUUCCCGUGGGGCCGCCCACUCGCCCGCAUGCAGGCUCCCGGGCCGGCUGCGGAAGCUGUGGGCCUGGACUGGGGGUAGCAGCAGAGGGGCGGCCAGGCUGGAGUGCAGCGGCAUGAUCUCGGCACACUGCAGCCACCGUCUUCCAGGUUCAAGCGAUUCUCCCACCUCAGCCUCCCGAGGAGCUGGGAUUACAGGAGUUCAGUGGCAUGACCAGGGCUCACUGCAACCUUGAUCUGGGCUCAAGUGAUCCUCCUACCUCAGCUUCCUGAGUAGCUAGGACCACAGGUGUGCACCAACCACACCCGACUAAUUUUUGUAGAGAUGAGAUCCCACUAUGUUACCCAGGCUGGUCUUGAACUCCUGGGCUCAGGUGAUCAUCCUGCCUUGGCUUCCCAAAGUACUGGGAUUAUAGGCUUGAGCCACCGUGCCUGGCCUGUGAUCAGAAUUCUCAUUUUUUUAGUCACUAAAAAUGCUGGGGGGCACUCCAUUCUCCAUUAUGUGAUUAGUUCACAUUGCAUGCUUGUAUCAAAACAUCAUAUAUACCCCACAAAUAUAUACAAAAAACUUUAAAAUUUUAAGUAUUAAUUGCUCAGGAAAAAAUUAAAAUGCUGGGGUGCUGAAAUCUCAAGGGCCCCAUUACAAAACUCCUUAGGAACCUCGCCCUCUCUCUGCUGUAAGGACUGGUUCCAGAAUGAGAGAAUUUAAAAGACAUUCCCCCCCCAAAAUGUUCAUAAUGUCACCCCGGAAACCUGCGAAUAUGUUAUAUUACAUGACCAGGGAGAAGUAAGGUUGCAGAUGGCAGUAAGGUUGCUAAUGGGCUGACCUUAAGAUAAGGAGAUGAUCCUGGAUUAUCUGGGUGGACCCAAUGUAAUCACAAGGGUCCUUAACUGUGGAAUAGUGAGGUGGCUGAGUCAGAGGCAGAGUGAUGCAAUGACUGAAAGACUUAACCAGCCAUCACCGGCUUUGAAUACGGAAGACGGUCAUGAGCCAGGGAAUGCAGGCAGGCUCUGGGAGCUGAAAAAAGCAAGAAAAUGGAUUCUCCCCUGGAGCCUCCAGAAGGGAUGCGGUCCUGCCAACCCCUUGUCAGUGAGCCAUUUCAGAUUUCUGACUUCCAGGACUGUAAGAAAAUAAACUUGUCUUGUUUUCAGCCACCAAGUUUGUGGUGAUUUGUUACAACAUCAGUAGGAAACUAAUACACCUCCCUGCUCCUGUUUAUAACUUCGUCCCUGUCCUAAAAUCCCAGCACCUGGGAGUAUUCACGGCUAUCCAUGGACUGACCACACCCCAGCCUGGAGUUCAGUAGUGGACCCAUGGCACUGGCCAGGUUUUCCAUCUCUUCUGGGUGGAGAGUGGGGAGCAAGCAAGACGAAGCUCAAGUGGAGCCUGGGAAGGAAAUUUUCAGGCAAAAUGAGAAAAAUAAUGGCCAAGCUGUGAGUUUCUCAGUAUUUGUUCACCCUGAUUCCAGUGCCAGUCCCCAGUAUUUUGAAGUCCCACACCUUAUCUAUUCUCAGGAAAGUAGUUCUGGUGGAGUUGAAUCUACUGUAUCCUUAGGUUUGGGUGAUUUAGGGCUAAGCCUUUCAGCACAGCCAUCCCUCUGGCCAUAGUGAUUGACUUGGGCUAGCCCUUGACAUGAUAUGGGCCAAUGCAAGUCAAGCCUAGGACUUUAUUUUCUUGUUGGGUGGAGGGGAUUUUCUGCUUUUCCCAGGACAGAAAUCAGAAAGGGUCCUGGACUUAACUUACACAGGCCAGUAAAUUCCUUCUUUAUUUAAGCUAGUUUAAAUGGUCUAUUGCUUCCACCAAUGAUACACCCCAGGAUAUUUCCUAACCGUCCCCCCCCCCGCCAGCACUUUGUUAUGAAUUAUGAAAAAAAAUUUUUUUUUAGACGAGUCUCUUUCACCCAGGCUGGAGAGCAGUGGUGUGGUCAUAGCUGGGCUCAAGCAAUCCUCCCACCUUAGCCUCCUGAGUAGUUGGAACUACAGGUGUGCCUCACCACAUUCCACAUAAUUUUUAAAAAUUUUUUAUUUUAUUACUACUUUUUGAGACAGAGUCUCACUCUGUUGCCCAGGCUGGAGUGCAGUGGCGCGAUCUCGGCUCACUGCAACCCCCCGGGUUCAAGCGAUUCCCCUGCCUCAGCCUCCCGAGUUGCUGGGACUAUAGGCGUGUGCCACCGUGCUCGGCUAAUUUUUUGUAUUUUAGUAGAGACGGGAUUUCACCAUGUUGGCCAGGAUGGUCUCGAUAUCCUGACCUUGUGAUCCGUCCACCUUGGCCUCCUAAAGUGCUGGGAUUACAGUUGUGAGCCACUGCACCCGGCCUGAUUUUUUUAUUUUUUGAAAUUUUUUAUAGAGAUGGAGUCUCACUAUGUUGCCCAGGCUGGUCUCCACCUCCUGGGCUCAAGCGAUCCUCAUGCCUCAGACUCCCAAGGUGCUAGGAUUACAGAUGUGAGCCACUGCAUCUGGCCAUGAAAAUUUUCAGUAUAUAGCAACCUGAGAAGCUUUUGCUCAGGGAAGCUUGCGAUCGGAAACUCACUUGAGGGCAAAAUGGAGGACAGAUUAGAGAGCGUGGGGGUGGAAGCUAGUCAUGGAGGAGGUUCUCGUGUUAGCUUAUGAAAGCUGAGAACCAAACAGGAGCAAGGGAUGGAAAAGACAGAUGGGAGUAGGAUUCACCUGGACUUGAUCCAAGAUGGUGGUUUUGAUGAAGUGCGUAGGAUGGAGGGUGGAUGCACAUGUUUCCGCCUUGGCCACCUCAAUGGACAGUUAAGGCAGUCCUGGAGGUAGAAAAUGCUGGAGGGAGAUUGGAAGUUUAAGGAAUGGUGAAUUCGGAUGGGCCAUUCUGGAUAUUCUCUUCAGGUUGGACAUGGGAGGUGUGGAAGUAGUCAUGAAGGAAAAGGUACUAGGUGAAAUUACCGUAACAGCUGCCACCCUGGGCUUGUCUCCAUCUGGUCCCUAUCACACUAUUGACAUCUUGGCUGCCAGCUUGUUUGGACCCCACUCAACGCCUCUUGCAGGUAGCUAUCUUGUUUUUUUUAUUUUUUGAGACAGAGUCUUGCUCUGUCAACAGGCUGGAGUGCAGUGGCGCGAUCUUGGCUCACUGCAACCUCCGCCUCCCGGGUUCAAGCGAUUCUCCUGCCUCAGCCUCCUAAGUAGCUGGGAUUACAGGCAUCCAUCACCGGGCCUGGCUAAUUUUUUGUGUGUUUUUUAGUAGAGAUGGGGUUUCACCAUAUUGGCCAGACUGGUUUCAAACUCCUUACCUCAGGUGAUCCGCCCACCUCGGCCUCCCAAAGUUCUGGGAUUACAGGCGUGAGCCACCGCACCUGGCCAGCAAUCUUGUUUUUGAAGUCCCCUUUACCUCACAGCCUGUGGCCUGGCAUGGAUUAAAAGUUUGAGUGAGUAUAUGAGUAUUCAAGAUGGAAACUUGGGACACCCUCCCUUUUCCUUUAGAGGCCCUGGGAGAAAGUGCCGCAGUGAAGGGGACUGAGGAGGAAUUAUUAGGUAGGAAGAGAACAUGGCAGAAACUAGAUCAGAGAGGUGGGAAGUAAAGGGAGGAGAGAAUUUCAAAGACAGAGAGUGCACAAUCUAUCUGUCCCAUGGUCCAGGGACUCCGGUAUGGCUCAAUGAGUUAGGGAGGUGAUAUGGCCUCUAGUUCAUUGCAUUUCCCCUCCCAGUUAGCUCUGUGACUGGCAACCACAAAGAGAAAUCAGACAGAAUCACAAGGCCCUGCCCUGAUGCUGACAUAAAAGGUAACUGGCUACGUUGUCUAUAUAAUCAGAGGGUUGAGGGGCCUCAGAGUGUAACUGUGGGGCAUUAAGUGCAACGUGAGAGACCAAAGGUCUUUUCUUUUUUUCUUUUUUCUGUUUUUCUUUUUUUUUUUUUUUUAGCCAGAGUCUCACUCUGUCGCUAGGCUGGAGUGCAGUGGUGCAAUCUUGGCUCACUGCAAAUUCCGAUUCCCUGGAUCAAGCAGUUCUCCUCCCUCAGCCUCCUGAGUAGCUGGGAUUACAGGCACACGCUACCACGCCCAGCUAAUUUUAGUAUUUUAGUAGAGAUGGGGUUUCACUAUGUUGGCCAGGAUGGUCUCGAUCUCCUGACCUCGUGAUCCAACCACCUCAGCCUCCCAAAGUGCUGGGAUUACAGGUGUGAGCCACCUUGCCUGGCUGUGAGGGACCAAAGGUCUUUUCUCCUGGGUCACAUCCAGCUCUGGCCCCUGCCAGCCCUCCCCAUUUCCAUUUCCCCACUGGAUACCCAGGGAGGGCUAAGUAAAGACUCGGGUUUGCUUUGAAAUAAAAGCACAUGCUGGCCACAGAUAGAAAGGCGGGGAGACUCCUUUAGCAAAUGUAUGGAGAUCCCAGUGUGCCGGACCCCAGGCUGAAUGCUGGGUUUUCUGUUCUCACAGCCAGGAAAGCACAGAUGGAGGUAAGAGGUGAGGAGAGGGACAAAAUGAUCACCUGUCUUCUACUCAUGAGGCUUUCUGGAUCAGGAGGAGUUUCAGCAGUUGUCUAAGUCUAGAAGAGAGAUGGUUGUAUGUAUGUGUGUGCGUGUAUGUGUGGCUUGGGGUGACAUGGGAAGUGUGAAGGGUGUCCGAAAGAGAGAGAUUGGGAAGGAGGGAAAUGAGACAGGUUAGUGGGAGAUGGAUUCUGGGGGCAAGGUUCAUGGCAUCCCUGGGGGCUCCUCAGGAACUGGUUGAAUAAUCUGUAGCCCCUGGACACUAGGCGUCUACAUUGGACCAUUUGCUGUGGUUGUUAGGAGGAGGACAACAUUCCUGUUGCAGGAAGUUAGCCGACAACCAUCAAUGAAGGUCAUAAGGAUGAGCAGUUCACAAAGCUCCUACACCCUUGUUUCUCAUUUAAUGUCUGAAAAAUCCCUGUAAAGCAUAAAACAGACUCACAAAAGGAGGGUCCCAGCCAGGUGCAGUGACUCACGCUUAUCAUUCCAGCACUUUGGGAGGCUGAAGCGGGAGGGUCCCUUGAGCCCAGGAGUUCAAGACCAGCCUGGGUAACAUAGUGAGACUCCAUCUCUACAAAUAAUUCUAGAAAUUAGCCAGGCAUGGUGGAGUGAGGUGGUGGUCCCAGCAACUUGGGAGGCUAAGGUGAGAGGAUCAUCUGAGCCAGGGAGGUGGAGGUUACAGUGAGCUGAGAUCAUGCCACCACUGCACUCUAGCCUGAGCAACAGAGCAAGACCCUGUUUCAAAAAAUAAUAAUAAAGAAGUCCCUUAGCAAAGAAGUGUUGGAGCUAGGGGUUGAGUUCCAAGUCCCCCAUAAGGCAAAGGCCACAGGCUUUUUGCCCUGUGUCCCAAGGUAGGGGAACCAGGCAGAGCUGGAAUGUGUGCUGUUUGCUUGCCCAAAAACCUAUCCAGGCUUACAGGCCAAUUGGGAGA